rnacentral:rRNA from 1 species
GGACUACCAGGGUAUCUAAUCCUGUUUGCUCCCCACGCUUUCGUGCCUCAGCGUCAGUUACAGUCCAGAGAGCCGCCUUCGCUACUGGUGUUCCUCCUAAUAUCUACGCAUUUCACCGCUACACUAGGAAUUCCACUCUCCUCUCCUGCACUCAAGUCCUACAGUUCCAAAAGCUUACUACGGUUGAGCCGUAGCCUUUCACUUCUGGCUUGAAAGACCGCCUACGCACCCUUUACGCCCAGUAAUUCCGGAUAACGCUAGCCCCCUACGUAUUACCGCGGCUGCUGGCACGUAGUUAGCCGGGGCUUCCUCCUCAAGUACCGUCAUUAUCUUCCUUGAGGACAGAGCUUUACGACCCGAAGGCCUUCAUCGCUCACGCGGCGUUGCUGCAUCAGGCUUUCGCCCAUUGUGCAAUAUUCCCCACUGCUGCCUCCCGUAGGAGUCUGGACCGUGUCUCAGUUCCAGUGUGGCCGAUCACCCUCUCAGGUCGGCUACUGAUCGUCGCCUUGGUAAGCCGUUACCUUACCAACUAGCUAAUCAGACGCGGGUCCAUCCUGUACCGCAAAAGCUUUGAUAUUUUUAUCAUGCGAUAAAAAUAUAUCAUMUCGUAUUAGCAUACCUUUCGGUAUGUUAUCCGUGUGUACAGGGCAGGUUACCCACGCGUUACUCACCCGUCCGCCGCUCUUCUCCGAAGAGAAUCGCUCGACUUGCAUGUGUUAGGCACGCCGCCAGCGUUCAUCCUGAGCCAGGAUCAAACUCUCCAA